GACGAACGCUGGCGGCGUGCUUGACACAUGCAAGUCGAACGGAAGGGCCUGCUUUCCCUUGUGGAUUGCGGGUACUCGAGUGGCGAACGGGUGAGUAACACGUGAGUGAUCUGCCCCCAACUUGGGUAUAAGCCUGGGAAACUGGGUCUAAUUCCCGAUAGGACUGCAGGGUGGUGCCUGUGGUGGAAAACGAUUUUCUAGUGGUUGGGGAUGAGCUCGCGGCCUAUCAGCUUGUUGGUGGGGUAAUGGCCUACCAAGGCGGCGACGGGUAGCCGGCCUGAGAGGGUGGACGGCCACAUUGGGACUGAGAUACGGCCCAGACUCCUACGGGAGGCAGCAGUGGGGAAUAUUGCACAAUGGGCGGAAGCCUGAUGCAGCGACGCCGCGUGGGGGAUGACGGCCUUCGGGUUGUAAACUCCUUUCGACCGCGAGGAAGCCACCUGGUUGGAAGGGUGGUGACGGUAGUGGUAGAAGAAGCACCGGCUAACUACGUG
rnacentral:rRNA from 1 species